ensembl:lncRNA
UGGGUUUGCUGGUCAAUACAUAUACUGAACAGGGAUGGAGAGGGAGUUAGUAAGGUAGGCUGCAGUGGGUUUGCUGGUCAAUACAUAUACUGAACAGGGAUGGAGAGGGAGUUAGUAAGGUAGGCUGCAGUGGGUUUGCUGGUCAAUACAUAUACUGAACAGGGAUGGAGAGGGAGUUAGUAAGGUAGACUGCAGUGGGUUUGCUGGUCAAUACAUACACUGUACAGGGAUGGAGAGGGAGUUAGUAAGGUAGGCUGCAGUGGGUUUGCUGGUCAAUACAUAUACUGAACAUGUAACCACAGUAAUGGUGGCCAGUAAAUCAAUGAAUAAAAAUGUAAUAUUGACAAAUUCAACAAAUUGUAGACCUUUAGUCUUUUCCAACAUGUCAACAGACACUUAACUUCAGUUAAGUAUGAAACAUUUCACAGUGUUAACUUCCUCUUUAUCCCUGGUUGAUGUACAUGUCAGAGCCUCUUCAGUGUGGAUGGGGAAAAGCAUACAUUUUCAACAACAAAGACAGCACUUCCAGUUUGUGUUCUUCGCUCUGUUGAACUCGUUUCUCUUCAUUCCUAGUUACAGCACGUGGAAC